GUAUUGACUCUGAUGCUGAUUUCAGUUGUCUGAUUCUGUAUUUUUGUUCUUUUGUUACACAGAGUGAAACAGAACUUCGGUUUUGCCUUUGCUGGAUACUGAUCUGAUCGUCUCAAGUCUGAGUGAACAGAUCUUUGGUUUUGCCUUUGCUGGUAAGUAGACAGUAAUGGUAAUGUUUAGUAAUUUACUUACAGUAGUUUGGCUAUUUGUGUUAUCUUGCCAUUCACUCAUGGGCAAAGACAAAUAGUCAGGAUUUAGAAUCUGUAGCAGCA